CCACUGCACUCCAGCCUGGGUGACAGAGUGAAACUCAAAAAAAAACCUGACCUUGUUCUUGUUUGUUCUUGUUUUGAGAUGUUUUGAGAUUCUCCUUGUAGUGUCCACCCAUCUCACUGCUGGGAAGUCCUUCCCUGGGUCUCAUCAAGGUCUCUCGUGACUGUCCUUCUGUAUCCUUUCCUCUACGCUGGAAGGGAACCAAAGGAAAGUAUUCCCUGGCUUAAGGCCUUUCUAAGAUGACUUCUGGUUUUUCUGUUGAAUUACUCUCAUCAAUGGCGCAGUGUGUCCCCUCCAGGUAGCUGUCACGGAAACCUUCCUGGAGACAGUGUCUUAACCACCAGGAAUUGCUCUGUGUUGGACUUAGCAGUGAAGUGGGGAUGGAGUAGGAAGGAGAUCCACACGCCCUUCAGAUCACACUGUGCCCUACACACUCUGCCCACAUAGACCACCUGCGGGAAGACAGAACCAGUGGGGAAGAGCCUGGCAGCUGAAGUCUGGGAUGUGGCCUCAGCUCCUUUACAAACUGCCUGUGCAACCUUGGGCAAGUCCCAACCUCUCAACACUCCAGUUUCUCCUCUUCCGUGGCCUGGGGAUACUACGAAUAUUUACCUCAUAGGAUUUUGUGAGGAUUAAUGAGAUGAGGCAUAGAACAUGCUUAGCUCAGCUCUAAGGAAGAAUAAGUGUUGGCUCUUGUUGGAAUUAUGGUACCACCUUGAG
rnacentral:lncRNA from 1 species